CAUCAGGGACUGUGAGGGAGUCCUCUAUUGUGUUCAAUAGUGGACAUGGUUUAUUGGCUAGCCACAUCAUCAUCAUCAUCAUCGUCGUCGUCGUCGUCGUCGUCGUCGUGCGGUUCCUUCCAAAUAACUGAAUUAUUCGAUAUCGAAUCGUCACUGUUACCGCUGGCACCGCACCCAAUGAACUGUGAGGUUACAACGCACCCCGUUUGCCACGUUCGACUCCCGACGUUCGACUGCCCCUCAUCACACAAAUCGCAGCACGCGGAUUACCAACCGCGCUCCUAUCCAGCAACUGUCGUUCUUACGGCUCCUGGCAACACGGACUCGAGUUCGAUUUGCGCAACGUCACCGUUGUCGAAAUAGUGACGGGAUCAGUUGAGGCUCCUAUCUUCGCUACCGGUCUGCAUCGAUUUUAGUGACAACUACGCCAGCAGCCAUUGACAGAGAACACGGAGACUCCUGUUUUUUCCACAACGCUUCGAGCUGCAUUGGACCACUGCGUUUUGCACUGAUGGACCACCUCGGGGUUGCCGACGCCGUCGCAGUUGCUGGUGUAGCCGCCUCGGCGGCUGUCGAUGGCGCUUCCAUCGUAGCCUUCGUCUCAGGGCGGGUUAAAGGUGAUGAUCCCGUCGUACUCAUUUGGUCCUGCAAACGGGACGGAAUGAUGUCACUACAGCGACGAGCGACUGCUGCUGUUCUUUUUUUACUCCUACUUAUACAAAGGAAUGCACCGGCACGCAAGGCAAGACGAGGCGUUGCUAACGUCGACGACCUGUAUUGCUGAUGGCAGCUCGCCCGCGAUGCUGUUUUGGAACGGAUGGUCGUUUGCCAAGCGAUGCGGCACGUCGUAUGGCCUGGCAAACACUUGGCCAGCGGGAACUGCUACGCUGCAGCGUUUGCUCGGCGUUCGUAGCUUAUUGCGCUCUAGUAACA